UACGUAGGGCGCAAGCGUUAUCCGGAAUUAUUGGGCGUAAAGAGCUCGUAGGCGGUUUGUCGCGUCUGCCGUGAAAGUCCGGAGCUCAACCUCCGGACUUGCAGUGGGUGACGGGCAGACUAGAGUGUGGUAGGGGAGACUGGAAUUCCUGGUGUAGCGGUGGAAUGCGCAGAUAUCGAGGAGAACACCGAUGGCGAAGGCAGGUCUG
rnacentral:rRNA from 1 species